AGAGUUUGAUCAUGGCUCAGAACGUACGCUGGCGGCACGCCUAACACAUGCAAGUCGAACGAAGUAGCAAUACUUAGUGGCAGACGGGUGAGUAACAUGUAGGUAUCUACCCUUUGGCCUGGAAUAACACGAGGAAACUUGUGCUAAUACCGGAUAAGUCUUUACAGAGAAAGCUUUAUGCACCAUUGGAUGAGCCUGCACUUGAUUAGUUUGUUGGUGGGGUAAUGGCCUACCAAGACUGUGAUCAAUAGCUGAUUUGAGAGGAUGAUCAGCCACAUUGGGACUGAGACACGGCCCAAACUCCUACGGGAGGCAGCAGUGGGGAAUCUUGCACAAUGGAGGAAACUCUGAUGCAGCGAUGCCGCGUGAGUGAAGAAGGCCCUUGGGUUGUAAAGCUCUUUCGUCGGGGAAGAAAAUGACUGUACCCGAAUAAGAAGGUCCGGCUAACUUCGUGCCAGCGGCCGCGGUAAUACGAAGGGACCUAGCGUAGUUCGGAAUUACUGGGCUUAAAGAGUUCGUAGGUGGUUGAAAAAGUUGGUGGUGAAAUCCCAGAGCUUAACUCUGGAACUGCCAUCAAAACUUUUCAGCUAGAGUAUGAUAGAGGAAAGCAGAAUUUCUAGUGUAGAGGUGAAAUUCGUAGAUAUUAGAAAGAAUACCAAUUGCGAAGGCAGCUUUCUGGAUCAUUACUGACACUGAGGAACGAAAGCAUGGGUAGCGAAGAGGAUUAGAUACCCUCGUAGUCCAUGCCGUAAACGAUGUGUGUUAGACGUUGGAAAUUUAUUUUCAGUGUCGCAGCGAAAGCGAUAAACACACCGCCUGGGGAGUACGACCGCAAGGUUAAAACUCAAAUGAAUUGACGGGGACCCGCACAAGUAGUGGAGCAUGUGGUUUAAUUCGAAGAUACGCGCAGAACCUUACCAACACUUGACAUGUUCGUCGCGACUUUAAGAGAUUAAAGUUUUCGGUUCGGCCGGACGAAACACAGGUGCUGCAUGGCUGUCGUCAGCUCGUGUCGUGAGAUGUUGGGUUAAGUCCCGCAACGAGCGCAACCCUCACUUUUAGUUGCCAUCAUUAAGUUGGGCACUCUGAAAGAACUGCCAGUGAUAAGCUGGAGGAAGGUGGGGAUGACGUCAAGUCCUCAUGGCCCUUACGUGUUGGGCUACACACGUGCUACAAUGGUAUCUACAACAGGAAGCAAGACGGCGACGUCAAGCAAAUCCUUAAAAGAUACCUCAGUUCGGAUUGCACUCUGCAACUCGAGUGCAUGGAGCUGGAAUUACUAGUAAUCGUGGAUCAGCGUGCCACGGUGAAUGCGUUCCCGGGUCUUGUACACACCGCCCGUCACACCAUGGGAGUUGGUUCUACCUUAAGGCAAGGUUUCAAACCCUUGACCACGGUAUAGUCAGCGACUGGGGUGAAGUCGUAACAAGGUAACCAAGGG
rnacentral:rRNA from 1 species